AUUGAACGCUGGCGGCAGGCCUAACACAUGCAAGUCGAACGAGUGGCGGACGGGUGAGUAAUGUCUGGGAAACUGCCUGAUGGAGGGGGAUAACUACUGGAAACGGUAGCUAAUACCGCCUACCAUCAGGUGUGCCCUGUUGGGAUUAGCUGGUUGGUGGGGUAACGGCUCACCAAGGCGACGAUCCCUAGCUGGUCUGAGAGGAUGACCAGCAACACGGGAAAGGGGAAACGGUCCAGACUCCGACGGGAGGCAGCGGUGGGGAAUAUUGCACAAUGGGCGCAAGGCUGAUGCAGCCAUGCGGCGUGUAUGAAGAAGGCCAUCGGGUUGUAAAGGACUUUCAGCGGGGAGGCGUUACCCGAAGAAGAAGCACCGGCUAACUCCGUGCCAGCAGCCGCGGUAAUAC
rnacentral:rRNA from 1 species